GCAGGUGUUCAUAUGUGUGUGUGUCGAGAUAGAGAGGGAAAGAGAGAAAACUCUCUCAAAAACCUACAUCCUAAAAUCAGCAAAUUUAGGAAGAAAUUGGAAGAUAAUCCUAUGCAUGAACAUCUUUUCCUAAUCAUCUAAUCUUCAUAAUCAUAAGGAGUGAAAGCGGAAGCAUCAAGUGACACAAUGCAACAAGAGGCGCAAGACUGAGAUACAUCCAACCAGGAUAAAUCCAAGACACCUAAAAAGCAGAUUCCAAAACCAACUCGUCCAUGGGUUUUAUACAUUUCAAAUAUGAAGAGAGAAGGAACAUGGAUUGUAAAAACAUACUUUAACAAGGACACCUGCCUUUAUACAAGGGAUGUUAACUUGUGCGCUAUCAGUUGGUUGUCUAAGGAGAUACAACCAACCAUCAAAUCCAAUCCUGGGAUUCCAAUCCAAGUUCUUCAAGAUGAUCUGCAUAGGAGGCUGCAGGUACAGGUAACCAAGCAUCAAUUGUUUAGGGUUAAAUGAAGGCAUUAGAGAGGGUUCAAGGUCAUUAUAAGGCUCAAUAUGAGAAGCUGAGGGACUAUGGUGAAGAACUUCUCAAAUCCAAUCCAGGGUCUAUAGUGAGGAUUGAUGUGGAACCACUGUGUAAUCCCUCUUGUCCCACUAGACAGUUUAGGAGGAUCUACAUCUACUUAGGUGCAUUGAAGCAAGGGUUUAAGCUAUCUAGGAGACCACUGUUGGGCCUUGAUGGCUUUUUUUUUGAAAGGGUCCUUUCUUAGGCAGAUUUUGACAGCAGUAGGAGUAGAUGCUAACAAUGGGAUUUACCCAGUUGCAUACGUAGUUGUUGAGGCUGAGACUACAUCUUCUUGGACUUGGUUUCUUGAGUUGUUGGGUCAAGACUUUGAUAUUGAUGUUAACAGUUACUUCUGUUUCAUAAAGUGACAGGCAAAAAGGUUUAAUACCUGAUGUGUCUAAGGUGUUUCCAAGGUGUGAGCAUAGAUACCGCCUUAGACAUAUACAUGAAAAUAUGAACCCAAGAUGGAAAGGUGAAUUGUACAAGAACUUGUUGUGGAAUUGUGUUGCUGCUACAACCAUACAAGCCUUCGAAAAGGGAAUGAACACUAUUAAAAAUGAAGACAAGGCACUACACGACUGGUUAAAGACCAAACAUUAGAGCAUGGCAUACUUUUCUGGCUUGGUUAAGUGGGAUGUCACUGGCAUGCCAUGUAGGCAUGCAGUGGCUUGCAUAUGGAAUAUGGGGUUACAUGGAAGAGGUGAUGGUGUUCCAGAGAGAUGGGUGGAUAGGGCAUACUGGUUACAAACAUGGAAGGAUGUGUAUGCAUGUCUCAUUGACCCAAUUAAUGGCAUGGACAUGUGGCCAACCUCUGCAUGCCCAACUACAUUAGUUGCUCCAAAAUAUCAUGCCCAUGUUAGGAGACCAAAAUAGAAGAGAAAGAAGUCUGUAGAGGAGAUUGAUGAGUUGAAGGGCAAAAAGAAGACAUUAGGAGAAGGAUGUUGAAAAGUUAAGUCAACCUAUUCCAAGUACUGGAAAUAUGCCAAGGAAGGGCAACUCAUUGAGUUGUAAGAUUUGCAAGCAGAAGGGGCACAACAAGAGAGCUUGUGGAAACAAGACAGAAGGUGUUGGUCAGUCACAACAGUUAGAGCAUGUGCCUUAGUUGGAUGCAACUGAUGGUUUUUGUGUAGUUGAAGGUUUUUGUGCAGUUGAAGGUUUUGGUGCAGUUCAAACUUUCUGUGUAGGUUUAACUUUAAGCUUUAUUAACAGUAUAUAAUUAGAUCUAGCAAUUCAUGUGGAUGAUCAGGUUUAAAGUUCUAGUUUUUUUGUUUAUAAUAGAUGGUCUAUGUAAAAUGCCACUUGACAUUUGUUUUUGGGUUGUAAUUGCAAUGCAUGAAACUGCUAUUGAAUGGUUAACUUAUGAUGUGAUCUAUUGAAUGGUUUA